AUGAUGAUGCGGCGGGUGGCGCCGCCCUCGUCGGAGGACGACAGCUCGGGAUCCGGCGUGCCCGGCUGGCUGGAGGCGCUCCUGGGCACCCGCUUCUUCCUGGCCUGCGCGGCGCACCCGGGCUCCCCGCGCAAUGAGUGCAACAUGUUCUGCAUCGACUGCCGCGCCACGCCCGCUGCAUUCUGCUACUACUGCCGCUCCCACCGCCACGCGUCGCACCGGGUCAUCCAGAUACGGCGGUCGUCCUACCACGACGUGGUGCGCGUCACCGAGGUGGAGGACGUCCUCGACAUCGCCGGCGUCCAGACCUACGUCAUCAACAGCGCCAGGGUCCUCUUCCUCAACGAGCGGCCCCAGCCGCGCGGCGCCGGCGCCGCCGCGGGGAAGGCCGCCGCGUCUCCCUACAACUGCGAGAUCUGCGGCCGCGCGCUGCUCGACCCCUUCCGCUUCUGCUCCCUCGGAUGCAAGUUGGUGGACACCAAGACGCACGGGCACGGACACGGGCACGGGGCCACCGUCGUCGGCAAAGUCGACGGCGGCGGCGGCAGCGGCAGCGAGGCCGAGGCCGGCGGCAGCAAGAACGGCGCGCGGCCCCAAGGUCGGCGGCGGAAGGGGACACCCCACCGGGCGCCGUUCGGUUCGUGA
rnacentral:rRNA from 1 species